UGUCCUUGGGGCUGAGGUAGUAGAUUGAAUAGUUGUGGGGUUCUUUAACCUCUUUUUCAGAUAACUAUACAAUCUACUGUCUUUCCCAAGGAGACAGC
ensembl:miRNA